rnacentral:lncRNA from 1 species
AUGUCCUGCCCACGGCCAAAAUCACACGGAUUAAAUAUCAGGCUUAAUAAAGCAAAUCAUGGAAAUCUCAUAAAUAUUAGAUCAAAUUCAACUGAGCAGAAAACUAGAAAAAUUAAAUGUGGGUUGUUGAACAUUAGAUCCGUUUUUUCUAAGACUUUGUUAGUUAAUGACUUGAUUUGUGAUAAUCAGAUCUCUUUGCUCUCUCUCACAGAAUCCUGGCUGCAGCAAGAGGACUAUGUUAGCUUAAAUGGGUGGACUCCUUCAAAUUAUUUAAAUCAUCAUAUUGCUCGAAGCACAGGGCGAGGAGGAGGAGUAGCAACCAUUUUUCAUUCGGACUUAUUAAUCAGUCCCUUACAAAUUAAUAGUUACAGUUCGUUCGAACAUCUUAUUCUUAGUUUUCCUAAUCCAGAUUGCAAAACUGUAAAACCACUCUUGUUUGUAGUUUUAUAUCGUCCACCAGGCCCUUACUAUGAGUUUUUGGAUCAGAUCUCUGAUUUUUUAUCUGAUUUGGUGCUAAAUACUGAUAAGGUCACUGUAGUGGGGGAUUUUAACAUUCAUGUGGACAUUGAAAAUGAUAGCCUCAAUGUAGCCUUUAGUAAUAUCUUAGACUCAAUUGGUUUUACUCAAAGAAUACAUAGCUCCACCCACUCCUGCCAUCAUACAUUAGACCUUGUGCUGACUUAUGGUAUAGAGUGUGAGGAAAUAACGAUCUUUCCACAUAAUCCAGUCCUCUCGGAUCACUUUCUGUUAACCUUUGAGUAUUUUAUAACUGAGUUCUCGAGACAUGAAAGUAAAUUUCACUAUAGUCGGUCUCUAUCUGACAACGCAGUUGCAUCUUUUAAAUCAACUGUUCCAUCUUUACUGUCCUCAGAAUCUCAGAGGAACGUAGCAGAGGGCAAUAUUUUCAUUCCUAGCCCCUCACAAAUUGAUGCCUUAGUUCAUCAUGUUAAUUCCUCUUUACGUGUGGCAUUAGAUGAUGUUGCCCCUUUAAAAAAGAAGGUAAUUAGGGACAGGAAGUUGGCUCCCUGGUUUAANGACCUUGUGCUGACUUAUGGCAUAGAGUGUGAGGAAAUAACGAUCUUUCCACAUAAUCCAGUCCUCUCGGACCACUUUCUGAUAACCUUUGAGUUUUUUAUAACUGAGUUCUCGAGACAUGAAAGUAAAUUUCACUAUAGUCGGUCUCUAUCUGACAACGCAGUUGCAUCUUUUAAAUCAACUGUUCCAUCUUUACUGUCCUCAGCAUCUCAGAGGCAUGUAGCAGAGGGCAAUAUUUUCAGUUCUAGCCCCUCACAAAUUGAUGCCUUAGUUCAUCAUGUUAAUUCUUCUUUACGUGUGGCAUUAGAUGAUCUUUAA